AGAAAAAGUCUUUCCAAAACUAAUGCCUUGGCUUAGACCAGUCCACACCUAUACCCCGACACGGCAUUCACUCCACAAAACCCCACAGAUCGACUCACCCCGACUCUCUCUCCAACUCACUCCGACUCUCUCGCUGUCCGACUCACUCCACAGCCACCCCGACUCUCUGGUACCAAUACCAAUACCCAACUCUCGUGGUAGCAUUCACUCUCUUUCCAAAACUCCACUGCUACUCCCAAUCCCCGACUCCGAAGCCCUUGACCACGAAUCCACCGCCUCCGAGAUCUCUCUGGUACCCAUCCCUGAAGCCCUAAACCACGAAUCUACCGCCUCUGAGAUCUCUCUGGUACCAAUCCCUGAAUAAUCCACGAUUUGUCUUAGAAUCUGGAAUUGGGUAAGAGUUCAGGAGACUUUGCGCAAUUUUGGCUUUUAGGCGUGAUUGCAGAAGUGCUUACUGACAUCAAAUAAGAGGCAGAUGUGUAUAUAUUCGGUGGUUGCAUUAAGUCAUGGAAAAACCUUUUUUUUGUGAGACCUGAUGCUCUGUUUAAUGGGAAGAAACCGAUCAGGUUGUUUCAGAUUUGUGUGUGCAUUUUUGGCUUUGAUUUUGAAUUUUUUGAAAGUUUCGGAGUUGGAUUUGAAUCUUGAGUACAAGCCAGAUGUCAGGAAAGACUUAGAGGCUGUGGGGAAGAAACUUGAAGAAUGCACCGAAAGGUGUUCGUGAAAAUGGCCCAGAGAAAAGCUCAUAAGGUGAUUGUAAAUUACUUGGCACUCUAUUUGUCUCAAAGCUUUCAUUAUUUGUCUUCAUGUCUAUUUCCUACUAUUCUUAUCUCUUUCUAGUUUCUACUCUCUAAAAGGAUUAUCAACUUGCUCGAUUUGAGCUCAAAACUGGAGAUUCAGUUACUAUGCAAGGUAUCUGAAAUCUUGCGAUAGCUCUAUUGAUCUUGUUAAUGUCCUGAAGCAUGAGAUUCAAGAUGGGCAACUGAGCUUUAGAGGAAAAAGGGUAC